ACAGAAUGAAGAUCAAGUACAGUCUAGAGUUCAGUUUAAUGCCAGGCAUCUCACAUUCUGGUGGUUCUGGGGCCAGAGUUUUUCUGUGGAAGGGAGAGAGGGUUUUGCCGUGAGUGCUUAUUGGAGCUUAAGUGGGCCUUGAAUGCAGAGGCAGAAUUCCAUGUACUUUCUAUUUAAUGCUCAAAAUCAGAAGCAACAGGCUCAUUUAGUAUCAGUAAAGGUCAGUUAAAAUUAUAGAGACAUCCUUUGGAGCAAAUCCUCUGCCUUGUAUUUGCAUAUUUAUGAAUUAGAGAUUACGACAGGCUAUUUCAUUUAUUAGAGCAGCACUUCUAUAGUUAAUAGUCUGUCAGUAUUUCCAUUAUAAACCCCGUUUUUCAGUGGUUUAAUAUCUCAGCCAUUUAAAAUCACAUCAGGAAGCAAGCUGGUCUUGUGCUGUUGGCCAGGUACAGUUUCUUGGUACAGUUUAUUUUCAGUAAUGAAAUACUGUUCAUCAUAUAUGCAGAUGAGCCAUAGCAUUUCUGCUGGGGGGACAUAGCAAAGUGCCCAAGUUCAUCGUGGCUUUGUUUUCCUUUAGGAAAGAAGUGAAAACAGGGAUUUAAGCUGUCACGUUGACUGGGGCUUUGAGUUUGAAGAACAGCUUCUGAAGCACCUGCUUUCAGAAGAAACACUGGUCCUCAAUAUGAAAUCAGGUUGCUGUGUGCACACAGGGUAUACCCAUGAGGAUGAACCCCCUGUCCCUCAGACUGCUUCUCUGCUGGUCAUUGGAGAAGCACACCAGGCAUCAGGACCAUCCUUAAACCUGGUGGAAACAGGCACAAGAAUGAAUCAGAUUCUUCUUUGAACUUACCCAGGAACAUCUAGGCUACAGCCAUCAAAUGUUGUGAGCAUUUUAAUUAACUCUGAUCUCUGCUAAGAUCUUCACUGGGGCCAGCACUACAGCCAUGGUGAGAUUGGCAGUACAGCCAGAAAAAGUGUAUCGUUCUUUUGCAUGGCUCACCAGUAUUUUCUCUCUUUUGAUAUGGAUCCAGGGUGCAAAAUCCAGGAGAAGAACGGAAAGGUGUUUUCAUAUCUGCUGUGUUUGCACAAGUCCCAGAAAGCUCAUGGUAAAGCAGCUGCUUUUACCUCUCAGAUUCAAGCCCAUUAAAGGAUUUGAUGAAAGCUAUUCAGUGCUGUGGGCAAAGAAGAACAAACGUGAUCCAUUUAGGAAUUGUCAACAACUGGCCUCCAGUAUAGCUUGA
rnacentral:lncRNA from 14 species